UACGGAGGGGGCUAGCGUUGCUCGGAAUACUGGGCGUAAAGGGCGCGUAGGCGGACAUUUAAGUUAGAGGUGAAAGCCCAGGGCUCAACCCUGGAAUAGCCUUUAAUACUGGAUGUCUUGAGUUCGGGAGAGGUGAGUGGAAUGCCGAGUGUAGAGGUGAAAUUCGUAGAUAUUCGGCGGAACACCAGUGGCGAAGGCGACUCACUGGCCCGAUACUGACGCUG
rnacentral:rRNA from 1 species